UGCUUCUACUGGAUGACUUGUUAGAGGCCCCCGUAGAGACCUCUAUGAAAAGAGGCAUGGUCUCUCAGGAAAGAGUCCCCAGUGGGAGACACAGGCUAGGCCCAACCCAAGGAAGGAACCCAAGUCUGUGGUAUUUCAGCGUGACCAAAAAAAAAAAACAUAUAUAUUGCUGGGGCUGCAGAGAAACUCUGAAGGCUAUACUCACUUACCCCUGGUCCACUGCUGGUCCCACUUCAAAAGCCCUCUAAAAGCUACAUCAGAGCCAUUGUGCUAUUCCUUGGUAGCAGCCUGGGCCGUUCCCCAAGCCUGGAAUGUAUUAAGUCUUUUAACAAGCGACUCCCACGCUACGUGAUGCUAAUUAGACCCUAUGCAGCGGGUGGUGCAAUGAUCUGCAGCCGUGACAGCGACAGAAUAGAGUUCAGCUGUGGAGCAAUUCUGCCACGAUAUCUGCCCCAUAGCCUGCCUCACAUCCCCUGCAUUCCUCUCCCUAGCAGAGAGCAAGUCUCUGAACAAGCUGUGUCCGCUUUCUCUUCCUGACUCUGUGUCUCUCAAUGUCUUCUU